rnacentral:rRNA from 1 species
AUUGAACGCUGGCGGCAUGCCUUACACAUGCAAGUCGAACGGUAACGGGCCUUCGGGUGCCGACGAGUGGCGAACGGGUGAGUAAUACAUCGGAACGUGCCCGAUCGUGGGGGAUAACGAGGCGAAAGCUUUGCUAAUACCGCAUACGAUCUACGGAUGAAAGCAGGGGACCGCAAGGCCUUGCGCGGACGGAGCGGCCGAUGGCAGAUUAGGUAGUUGGUGGGAUAAAUGCUUACCAAGCCGACGAUCUGUAGCUGGUCUGAGAGGAUGAUCAGCCACACUGGGACUGAGACACGGCCCAGACUCCUACGGGAGGCAGCAGUGGGGAAUUUUGGACAAUGGGCGCAAGCCUGAUCCAGCCAUGCCGCGUGCAGGAUGAAGGCCUUCGGGUUGUAAACUGCUUUUGUACGGAACGAAAAGCCUUCUUUUAAUACAGGAGGGUCAUGACGGUACCGUAAGAAUAAGCACCGGCUAACUACGUG